CAGCCGCCGCGGUAAUACGUAGGUGGCAAGCGUUGUCCGGAAUUAUUGGGCGUAAAGGGCUCGCAGGCGGUUUCUUAAGUCUGAUGUGAAAGCCCCCGGCUCAACUGGGGAGGGUCAUUGGAAACUGGGAAACUUGAGUGCAGAAGAGGAGAGUGGAAUUCCACGUGUAGCGGUGAAAUGCGUAGAGAUGUGGAGGAACACCAGUGGCGAAGGCGACUCUCUGGUCUGUAACUGACGCUGAGGAGCGAAAGCGUGGGGAGCGAACAGGAUUAGAUACCCCAGUAGUCCCUGUCUCUUAUAC
rnacentral:rRNA from 1 species